rnacentral:sRNA from 2 species
GCAAGAGGUCCGCUCGAACCGCCGGCAGGGGCGGGGGACCCAAAUCUGGGCGCUCAGGCGCCCUUGGGGUGAAGCCCCGUCGUGGAGCGAUCCACGGCGAGGCCGGGUGUUCUCCCACCCGAACCCGACAGCUGACCUCGUAGGCGACAAGGAGAGGCACG